CGCGGGUGGAGCAGCAUGGUAGCUCGUCGGGCUCAUAACCCGAAGGUCGUCGGUUCAAAUCCGGCCCCCGCAACCA
rnacentral:tRNA from 1 species